UGCCAGACUCCUACGGGAGGCAGCAGUGGGGAAUAUUGCACAAUGGGGGAAACCCUGAUGCAGCAACGCCGCGUGAGUGAAGAAGUAUUUCGGUAUGUAAAGCUCUAUCAGCAGGGAAGAAAAUGACGGUACCUGAGUAAGAAGCCCCGGCUAACUACGUGCCAGCAGCCGCGGUAAUACGUAGGGGGCAAGCGUUAUCCGGAUUUACUGGGUGUAAAGGGAGCGUAGACGGCGAUACAAGUCUGAAGUGAAAGCCCGGGGCUCAACCCCGGGACUGCUUUGGAAACUGUGUUGCUGGAGUGCUGGAGAGGCAAGCGGAAUUCCUAGUGUAGCGGUGAAAUGCGUAGAUAUUAGGAGGAACACCAGUGGCGAAGGCGGCCUGCUGGACAGUAACUGACGUUGAGGCUCGAAAGCGUGGGGAGCAAACAGGAUUAGAUACCCCCGUAA
rnacentral:rRNA from 1 species